GACGAACGCUGGCGGCGUGCUUAACACAUGCAAGUCGAACGGAAAGUCCCUGCUUUUGUGGGGUGCUCGAGUUGCGAACGGGUGAGUAACACUUGAGUAACCUGCCCUUGACUUUGGGAUAACUUCAGGAAACUUGGGCUCAUACCGGAUAGGAGCUCCUGCUGCAUGGUGGGGGUUGGAUAGUUUCGGCGGUUGGUGAUGGACUCGCGUCUUAUCAGCUUGUUGGUGGGGUAGUGGCUUACCAAGGCUUGGAGGGGUAGCCGGCCUGGGAGGAGGACCGGACAAACUGGGACGGGGAUGAGGCACAGACUCGUACGGGAGGCAGGGGAGGGGAAGAGUAUACAAUGGGAGGAAGCAAGAUGCAGCAAAGCAGCGUGGGGGAUGAGGGCAAGGGGGUUGGAAACCGAUGUCGCCUGUGACGAAGCGAGAGUGACGGUAAUGGGUAAAGAAGCACCGGCUAACUACGUG
rnacentral:rRNA from 1 species